CGAACGGGUGAGUAACACGUGGGUGACCUGCCCUUAGCUCUGGGAUAAGCCUGGGAAACUGGGUCUAAUACCGGAUAUGACUCCAUGACGCAUGUUGUGGGGUGGAAAGCCCUGUGCGGCUGGGGAUGGGCCCGCGGCCUAUCAGCUUGUUGGUGGGGUGAUGGCCUACCAAGGCGACGACGGGUAGCCGGCCUGAGAGGGCGACCGGCCACACUGGGACUGAGACACGGCCCAG
rnacentral:rRNA from 1 species